CCUACGUGAGGCAGCAGUAGGGAAUAUUGCUCAAUGGGGGAAACCCUGCAGCAGCAACGCCGCGUGGAGGCUGAAGGUUUUCGGAUUGUAAACUCCUUUUGUUAGAGAAGAUAAUGACGGUAUCUAACGAAUAAGCACCGGCUAACUCCGUGCCAGCAGCCGCGAUAAUACGGAGGGUGCAAGCGUUACUCGGAAUCACUGGGCGUAAGGAGCGCGUAGGCGGGAUAGCAAGUCAGAUGUGAAAUCCUAUGGCUUAACCAUAGAACUGCAUUUGAAACUGUUAUUCUAGAGUAUGGGAGAGGUAGGUGGAAUUCUUGGUGUAGGGGUAAAAUCCGUAGAGAUCAAGAGGAAUACUCAUUGCGAAGGCGACCUGCUAGAACAUAACUGACGCUGAUGCGCGAAAGCGUGGGGAGCAAACAGGAUUAGAUACCCGAGUAGUC
rnacentral:rRNA from 1 species